CCUACGGGAGGCUGCAGUGGGGGAUAUUGCACAAUGGGGGAAACCCUGAUGCAGCGACGCCGCGUGGGCGAAGAAGUACUUCGGUAUGUAAAGCCCUAUCAGCAGGGAAGAAGCAAUGACGUUACUUGAGGAAGAAGCACGGGCUAAAUACGUCCCAGCAGCCACGGUAAUACGUAUGGUGCAAGCGUGAUCCGGAUGUACUGGGUGUAAAGGGAGCGCAGGGGGCACGGCAAGCCUGAUGUGAAAGCCCGCGGCCCACCCGCGGGACUGCAUUGGGAACUACCGGGCUGGAGUGCCGGAGGGGUAGGCGGAAUUCCUGGUGUAGCGGUGAAAUGGGAGGAUAUUAGGAGGAACACCGGUGGCGAGGGCGGCCUACUGGACGGUGACUGACGCGGGGGCUCGAAGGCGUGGGAGGCAAACAGGAUUGGAUACCCUGUAGUC
rnacentral:rRNA from 1 species